CCAGUUCAUACUGAUGUUGCUGUUCCAAGAGGAAAGACUUGUUACCUCUCCGAGUUAAGAACAGGAACAUAAGUAAUCGUUGUUAAUCAGAGCACGCAAUAGAGAAGGUCCGCUUUUCCUCGUGGAUGCUAAGUUAGAGUUGAAUGGUUUGGAUGUAUACAAAGAAGAUCUAAAGCAAUAAAUACAUUAUCUGCAGUGUUCUAAAGAGCAACAGGGCAAGGUCUACUAUAUAGAAGAUAAGUUAUUUAAAACAAAUGUGUCUUCUUCUAGGUUAAUAAGUUAUGUUCAGUUUUAAUAUAUCAUGGAUAUUUUGUUAAAAUCUGUUACAAAUUUUUAUUUGACAGGGUCUAUACAAUUUGAAGCUCAAACUAAUGGAAUUGAGCUUAUUACAAAUGAAAGACAUUGGAGAGAGACAUAACGUUAUGCUUCUCGUAAGCAAUUUGAUACGCAGGGUAUUUUGGUACGCAGGGUAAAGGGAGCAUAUAAGAAGGUCCGACGUCGACUCAAAUUAAUAUUUCAGAUACCUUAAAGUUUUCAAUUACACGCCACUCCCCCAACGGAAGGUUACGUUGGGUACGAAACAUGAGUGCUCUGGGACAUGAUGCAUGGAUCUUAACACCCUGUAAACAAUUUAAAAUUAUUAGAACUUAAAGCAUAUAGAGCAGAUUAUAUAAUGGAUCUAAGGAAGAAGGUAUGCAAAGUUAAAUAUAGAGCAUCUAAAACAGUCUCAGCAGAACUUACAGUCUGAUCAGCUAACACCAGUUCCAGUGUUUCAUCAGCAUAUGGAGGGGUUUGUCUCCACGAGUGAAUCACUUUCACUUGCGUACGCCAUUUUUUGGACCGAGGUUUCAAGCCGUUGAUCAAAACCAAACUCUGGUUUGAAGACAUAAUUAAAUUGGGUGCGAUGAAAAAAAUUAGCUUGGAACGUUUGAGGUGAUAUUGAAAAGGUACAUAAUUGUUCGUGUGUGGUUCUGUAACACAAAAAGUUCUGUAACACAGUUAUUUAUAUGCUUACUAUUACAUCUAUGUUAUUAUUGUGGUUCGCCUAGAUGGCUAAAAUAUUGUUUUGUAAUGCAAGAUCCAUACGGAACCAUUUGGGUUAUUUUUUAAUGAAAGCUUUCAAUGGGUA